GCUGAGCAGGGCCGCGGACAGAGAGAAACGCCGAGGUCGAGGGGGCGCGGCCGCCCGGGUUCGGCGAUGGGGUUAUAGGAUCCGCGUUCGCCCCGCGCCCGCACAGCCAACGUCGCGCCGCAUUCUUAUUUCCGAAGACCCCUGGAGCUUGGGGUCCCACCCCAGCGGUCUUUCGGGGCGUCCUCUGCCCGUCAUGCGCCGCGCCGGCUCGGCCCGAAGCGCCCUGCGGACUCGCAGCCUGGGCCGCCCCAACCUGACGGCCCCGCGGGGGUCGGACGCGGGAGGAAAGGCCUCGCUUUCAGAGACUUAGCGGGAGGGCGGCCCCCGCCGUCCCUCUGGCCGGGUACUCAGCACGCGUUCUCCUCACUCCCAGGACUAGCGGAGCGGCGGGCGCGGACCGGGGCCUGGGGUCGGAGGCGGCGCAGCCAGAAAGGCGCCAGCGGCGCUGAGACGUUUGGGGGAAGGCGGGGGCUUCGCGACUCGGUGGCUGGAAGCGGAAUGAGGUUGGACCGGCCGGGCCAGCGUUCAGAGACCCGGCGGCUGGCGUCCUCGCGGACAUCCAUCUGCAGCGAACCCGGCAGAGGCUUUGGGAUUAGAUCCCUGACUCCUUCCAGUGUGCGCAUUGUUGAGAACACUGGCCUAGGAUAAGGGUGCACUUGGCAUCCAGGAGAUAAAGAGGAUGUCCAUGCAGGCCAAAAAAUUACCACGAGGGCUGAGCGCGGUGGCUCACGCCUGUAAUCCCAGCACUUUGAGAGGCCGAGGCGGGCGGAUCACGAGGUCAGAAGAUCGAGACCAUCCUGGCGAACACGGUGAAAUCCUGUCUCUACUAAAAAUACAAAAAAAUUACCUGGGCGUGGUGGCAGGCACCUGUAGUCCUAGCUACUCUGGAGGCUGAAAGGAAAAUGGCGUUAACCCGGGAGGCAGAGCUUGCAGUAAGCCGAGAUCGUGCCACUGCACUCCAGCCUGGGGGACGGUGAGACUCCGUCUCAAAAAAAAAAAAAAAAAAAAAAAUCACCACCAAAGUUCCGUAGCUCAAAAAAGAUGGGCUUUUUGAAUUUUGUUCUGGAAAAAAAACAUACUCUGUAUAAAAUGACAGCUGUAAAGUGAAAUGUAUUUC